UAAAAGUUGAGUUUGAUGAUAGCUCUGAGUGAACGCUGUCCAAAUGCUUGACACAUGCUAAUCGUACGUCUAAUUUAAUUAGAAGUGGUGUACAGGUGAGAAAAAAAUAAUUUAAUUACCUUGAAGUAAGGAAUAAAUUCCUUAUAUUAAAAAGAAAUAUAAUAUUUCGCUUUAAGAUGUUAAAAUAUUCUGGAUGAGUAAUAGUGUAAAACUAGCUCUUGUUCCGGUAGUCGAAACUGAGAGGUUUAUCGAUCACACUGGGUCUGAAAAAAGCCCAUGGCAAAUAGCACAGCAGUGGGGUAUAUUGGUCAAUAGUCUAACGACUGAACCAGCAACUUGGAAGAAUGUAUAACGAAUAAGUCGUAUAAAAUUCUAGAUAAAAAAAUUAUAAUGAAAAUUUUUUAUCUAUAAGUCUUGGCCAAAUUACGUGCCAGCAGUCGCGGUAAUACGUAGAAGACUAGUGUUAUUCAUAAUUAAUAGGUUUAUAGGGUACCUAGACGGAAAAUCAAGCUUUAAUAAGGACUAAUAUUCUAGAGUUUUAUAUGAGAAGGCGGAAUUAUCAGAGAAGAGUCAAAAUUUUGUUAUACUGGUAAGACAGGCGACGGCGAAGGCAGCUUUCUAUGUAAAAACUGACGUUGAGGGACGAAGCCUUGGGUAGCAAUAAGGAUUAGAUACCCUAGUAGUCCUUGGAGACAAUUAUGAAUGCCAUAUGUUAGUUAUACAUUGACAUAUAAAUGAAAGUGCAAGCAUUCCACCUCAUGAGUAAAGCGGCAACGCCCAAAUUGAAAUCAUUAGACCGUUUCUGAAACCAGUAGUGAAGUAUGUUAUUUAAUUCGAUUACCCGCGAAAAACCUUACCACACUCUGAAUAAUAUUUAAUUAUUACAAGCGCUGCACGGCUGUCUUCAGUUAAUAUCGUGAGAUUUUGGUUAAUUCCUUUAAUUAACGAAAGCCCUUGUUUUAUUUUAUAAAAUAAAAUCGUUCACCGCUAUAUUGGAUGAGAUGAUAGGGACCAAGACAAGUCAUUAUGGCCUUAGUAGUGUGGGCUAUAGACGUGCCACAUAUGCCUUUACAAAGGGAUGCAAUAUUGCAAAAUGGAGCUAAUCCUUAAAACUGGACAUAACUAUUCGUGAAUUGUAGUCUGAAAUUCGACUGCAUGAAUAAGGAAUUACUAGUAAUCGUGAAUCAGCACGUCACGGUGAAUUUAAUAUCAGAUGGGUACUAACUACUCGUCAGGCGCUGAAAGGAAUAUGUGCAAUAAGUUUGGUUAUUUAUUGUUUUUUAUAAUUAAAGAGUAUUAUAUUAUUCAGUUUGUAACUUUCGUAUGCGUGAUUUUGAUUGGUGUUAAGUCGAAAUAUGGUUCGUGUAAUGGAAAUUGCACGGGAUAUAUUAACCUU
rnacentral:ncRNA from 1 species